AAAACACUAUCAAACAGUGAUGUAUUACAAGUAAAAAAAAUUCACAACUAUAAGCAACAACCACGAUUAACACAAUACAAACAGAGGGUGCUAAUACACAACAAUAAUAGCUUAUUUCUGCAAUUUGGCAGAUUACAUCACUUCGUAGAUCCACACGUCAAAGCAGUCCCUGCCACAAAGACUCCCAUCCUGAAACACGAAAAAUCACAGCAAUGUCAACAAGUAUACAACUUAGAAUCAAUAAGCCAGCAGGUAUAUUGUUUGCUAUUAAGUCGAAGAAUUCUGCAGUUCUACUAUGAUGCAAUAAUGAAUUUUUCAAAUUAAAUACUUUCACUAAUUGUGGACCUUAUAUCAUGGUUGAGCGGAAUAAAUUGGUUACAUGUUAUUUUACCUUUAGGUUUGUCUACCCAAAAACUAUGGUAUUCUGUAUCAUUUUACCUUUAGGUUAAUGUUAUUGAAAUUCCAAAAUUCCAUUUCUCAUAAUACUGUCAAAGUGGAGUAUAGUUUUCGGAGUGCCUGCAUAAAUUUUAGAAGUCAUAUUGACAUGUUUGAAUUUUAAUAUGAAAACUUAAAUAUGUUUUUGGGUGUAGGUGUUAGGGCUACUAACAUAUGGUCAUGACUCUGAAGCUUCACAGAGCUGGAGACUACCCAAGCUGCAUAAAGCUGGAGACUUGAAAAGAAACUAUAUAUGAGCUAAAUUAACCGUCAGGAGGGGGGAAGACAAGCCAAAAUAGAAAAGGCAUAAAACUAGAAUCAAUGGUGUAAAUCCUAGACACACUAAUGGAUUUACACCCCUAGACAUAGUAAUUGUAGAAUUUUAGAAUUUGAAUAACAUUUACACCCCUAGAUUAGAAUUGGUUCCUAAACACAGUAAUUGUGGAAUUUUGAAAUUUCAAUAACAUUUACACCCCUAGAUUAGAAUUGGUUCACCAUUCUUAGACAGAGACAUAAACCCUAGAUUUACCUUGGAGACGAAGAGUUGAUUUCGCUGUUGAUUUCGUUCGGAGCUUUGGUUCAAAGUUUCGCAAGUUGAUUUCAUCCAGAGCUUUGUGUGUGAGAGAGAGAGAGAGUCGC
rnacentral:lncRNA from 1 species